AACAUGGAAAAUUGGAAUUUAAUAUUCCCUUUCUUCUAAAAAUGGAUCCGUUUUGCUAGCUUUUAUUCCCUUCAUUUCACGGUGCCUAUGUUACUUAUCCUCAUGUUCUGCUGGCUUGUGGGUCUUCGUGGGAUUAGAGGUUCUUAGAUCCCAAUUUCCACUUGACACCACUUCGAUUUUCACUUUGUUUGCACCAUUCCGGACGCGUUAAGUGGGCAUAGCAAGAGUCAAUAAACAUUCCUUUAGAUGGAGAAUCUCCUACCUCACUCAAUGCCCUUUCGAAUUCACUCUUGAAGCCUGAAAAUCACAAAGCUAUAUUUUCACUCCAACGGCAUAGAAGUGGUGAAAAAUAUUGUUGUUUUGAGCUCUACUAGAAGCUCUUACUCAAAUGGAUGACCCUUUUGCAUGUUAUAUUUUCUCUCAUGCCAGUGUUUUAAAUUUAAGGUUUGUGAACAAAUACAUACAUCAAGUGGUGACUAAGGCAGUAAAAUGUUUAGACUGUUUUCUAGGAUUGAUUAGAAGCACAAUGAAAUUCUUUUAUGUUUAGCAAAAUUCGAUCAUACACAAGCUAUUAAGAUCAGAAAGUGUUCACCUUGAAUUUUACUUAGUUGAUCAGUUGAGCAGUUGCUUAUAUUAAUCUUGCAGCUAUGCCAACUAUUACUGGGAUCAGCGGAGCCAGGUAUAAAGAUGUUUCGAAUCUGAAUCAAAAUAUCUUGAGAUCAGAAAAAAAGACUUUACUAAGCUUAUUUUAAGUUGGCAAAUAUGACUACGCUUUAUUCAGGUAUAUUUCAGAGUUCUCUUUUGAAAACAAAACAUUCAUAGUGAAAUCAGGAAAUACUAAGAUGAAUAGAUUAUGUAGAGUAAAUUUGGCUCAA